rnacentral:tRNA from 1 species
UAGCUUAGUGGGUAGAGCAUCAGACUUUUAAUCCAAGGGUCCAGGGUUCAUGUCCCUG